rnacentral:rRNA from 1 species
UAAGGAAUAUUGGACAAUGGCCGCAAGGCUGAUCCAGCCAUCCAGCGUGCAGGAAGAAGGCCCUAUGGGUUGUAAACUGCUUUUAUCAGGGAAUAAACCUCUGGAUUCACUCCGGAGCUGAAGGUACCUGAAGAAUAAGCACCGGCUAACUCCGUGCCAGCAGCCGCGGUAAUACGGAGGGUGCGAGCGUUAUCCGGAAUUACUGGGUUUAAAGGGUGCGUAGGCGGCUUUGUAAGUCAGGAGUGAAAGUUUGCGGCUCAACCGUAAAAUUGCUUCUGAUACUGCAUGGCUAGAAUUAGGAUGAGGUCAGCGGAAUGUGGCAUGUAGCGGUGAAAUGCAUAGAUAUGCCAUAGAACACCAAUUGCGAAGGCAGCUGGCUAGACCUGGAUUGACGCUGAGGCACGAAAGCGUGGGGAGCGAACAGGAUUAGAUACCCUGGUAGUCCACGCCCUAAACGAUGCUUACUCGACGUA